rnacentral:rRNA from 1 species
AGAGUUUGAUCCUGGCUCAGGAUGAACGCUAGCUACAGGCUUAACACAUGCAAGUCGAGGGGAAACGAUAUUGGAAGCUUGCUUCCGAUAGGCGUCGACCGGCGCACGGGUGAGUAACGCGUAUCCAACCUGCCCAUCACUUGGGGAUAACCUUGCGAAAGUAAGACUAAUACCCAAUGACGUCUCUAGAAGACAUCUGAAGGAGAUUAAAGAUUUAUCGGUGAUGGAUGGGGAUGCGUCUGAUUAGCUUGUUGGCGGGGUAACGGCCCACCAAGGCAACGAUCAGUAGGGGUUCUGAGAGGAAGGUCCCCCACAUUGGAACUGAGACACGGUCCAAACUCCUACGGGAGGCAGCAGUGAGGAAUAUUGGUCAAUGGGCGAGAGCCUGAACCAGCCAAGUAGCGUGCAGGAAGACGGCCCUAUGGGUUGUAAACUGCUUUUAUAAGGGAAUAAAGUUAGUCUCGUGAGACUUUUUGCAUGUACCUUAUGAAUAAGGACCGGCUAAUUCCGUGCCAGCAGCCGCGGUAAUACGGAAGGUCCGGGCGUUAUCCGGAUUUAUUGGGUUUAAAGGGAGCGUAGGCCGGAGAUUAAGCGUGUUGUGAAAUGUAGACGCUCAACGUCUGCACUGCAGCGCGAACUGGUUUCCUUGAGUACGCACAAAGUGGGCGGAAUUCGUGAUGUAGCGGUGAAAUGCUUAGAUAUCACUCAGAACACCGAUUGCGAAGGCAUCUGGCGAAUCCGUAACUGACGCUGAGGCACGAAAGCGUGGGGAUAGAACAGGAUUAGAUACCCUGGUAUUCCACGCCGUAAACGAUGAUGGCUAACCGCCGGCGACACACUGUCGGUGGCCAAGCGAAAGCGAUAAGCCAUCCACCUGGGGAGUACGUCGGCAACGAUGAAACUCAAAGGAAUUGACGGGGGCCCGCACAAGCGGAGGAACAUGUGGUUUAAUUCGAUGAUACGCGAGGAACCUUACCCGGGCUCGAACGGCACCUGGAUCGCCCAGAGAUGGGCGAGUCUUCGGACAGGUGUCGAGGUGCUGCAUGGUUGUCGUCAGCUCGUGCCGUGAGGUGUCGGCUCAAGUGCCAUAACGAGCGCAACCCCUGCCGCCAGUUGCCAUCAGGUGAUGCUGGGCACUCUGGCGGGACUGCCACCGCAAGGUGUGAGGAGGGGGGGGAUGACGUCAAAUCAGCACGGCCCUUACGUCCGGGGCGACACACGUGUUACAAUGGCGGCCACAGAGGGAAGCUACCCCGCGAGGGGAUGCGGAUCUCGAAAGGCCGUCCCAGUUCGGACUGGAGUCUGCAACCCGACUCCACGAAGUUGGAUUCGCUAGUAAUCGCGCAUCAGCCAUGGCGCGGUGAAUACGUUCCCGGGCCUUGUACACACCGCCCGUCAAGCCAUGGAAGCCGCGGGCGCCUGAAGUCCGUGACCGUAAGGAGCGGCCUAGGGCGAAAGUGGUAACUGGGGCUAAGUCGUAACAAGGUA